UACAGUUGCUGCCCACACAUCAGCUGCUCUUGAACAGGCCUCUGCCCAGAUCUCUGGCAACAUUCAAAGUCAAUUCGAACGGGAUCAUGCACUCCUGCGUGCUGUGGAGGAGUUGAAGGCCUUGGUGAGGCAGAACAACCUCCUCCUCCAGGCCCUUACUAGGCAAAAAACGACAGCAGCAGCAGCAGCAGCAGACACUCUAUCUGAGGAAUUUAAGUUCCCAAUGAACUGCGAGGAAGACCUUCAAAGGGUGGAGGAUCUUCUGAGGGAGAAAUCCCAGGAAAAGGCCCUGGCAGCACACCUUAGUGCGCUUGGGGGCUGCAAUCCUGGCGACGCGGUUCGAAGAAUCCUUCGCCACAUCCUCACCAACCACUUCGUGCUGAAAUUCAACUGGCUUGGCAGAGGAGGGAAGAAGCUAGCUUUUGCCUCCUACAAGGUGUGCAAUGUAGUAAGAGGUAUGUAAACAAAUCACUCAUUGAGCUAUGAAUUAUGAAAUGGAUUCAUUUCUUUUGAAUAACCAUGGAGUGUACUGCAUGCAUCGUCAUUAAACACUUGUAAUGCACUUUGUACCAUUGUAUUAUUGGCCAGGACAUGAAAAACGGAUUACUAAUCUCAAAGGAUCUUUCCUCCUCAAUAAAUCAAUGUUAAAUAAACUAAAUAAAUACACUUUCUCUGUUUAGGUGCAUCGGCUAGCCAGAACAUUUCGGCCAGCGACUGCGAGGCAGUUAUUAAAAACUGGCUGAAGUGCAGCGGUGACCGGAGUGGAGGAAGAAAGAGGAGAGAAAGCAGAGUGCAUGAAGGUCCCCAGCAGUUCAGUCUUCCUCCUCCGAGUCCUUCCCCGGUCAUCCUGGAUCAUGAUACAACUAGCAGCGACAGUGACGACGACUGCAGCAGCCUGGAGUGACCCGCCUUCCGCCUGCACACCGACUCGGAUUUUAAUUCAUUUUUAAUUAAUUUAUUCUUCAUCUUCUUAUUAUUAUUAUUAUCAUUUUUAAUUAAUUUAUUCUUCAUCUUCUUCUUCUUAUUAUUAUUAUCAUUAUCAUUACAAGUAUUUAAUAAGUAUUUAAUAAAUGUUAACACUUUCCGGUUUAAUUCCAUGAUGUUUGAAUGGUUUUUGAAC
ensembl:lncRNA